AUAGCUAGGGCUGCCCUUGUUGGGACUGCUAGAAAUCUGUUCUUACCAGUUUAAUAUCUGAUACGUCCUCUAUCUGAGGACUAUUAAAUAGAUUUUUGGAACAGGGAGAUGGAAUAGGAGCUUGCUCCAUCCACUCCACACAUCGACCUGGUAUUGCAGUACCUCCAGGAACUGUGCACCUCCC
rnacentral:snRNA from 1 species